rnacentral:rRNA from 1 species
UGCGGACGGGUGAGUAACGCGUGGAAAACCUGCCGUAUACUGGGGGAUAACACUUAGAAAUAGGUGCUAAUACCGCAUAAGCGCACAGCUUCGCAUGAAGCGGUGUGAAAAACUCUGGUGGUAUACGAUGGUUCCGCGUCUGAUUAGCUAGUUGGUGGGGUAAUGGCCUACCAAGGCAACGAUCAGUAGCCGGCCUGAGAGGGUGAACGGCCACAUUGGGACUGAGACACGGCCCAAACUCCUACGGGAGGCAGCAG